UGAUGAGGAAAUGCAACUGCUCAGCCU
rnacentral:piRNA from 1 species